GCGGUUUCUUAUUUUUUGGGCCACACUUUUUGACUGGCUCUUUACAAGUAAAGCUAUAAAGAUUGUUCCUCUCGCUAUCCUUUGCUCCUUUGUGUUGUAUUUGGAUGUCGAGGAACUACAUUA
rfam:Capsicum annuum cultivar Zunla-1 chromosome 11, whole genome shotgun sequence